AUAAAUCAGGACUGGAGGGUCCUCACAUUACACUUGCCAUAAAACAAAGGAUUCUUUGAGCAUUAACCCUUUUAGAGAAUAAAAUAAAGAUGAAUCAGCUUAUGUUGACUAUACUGCUUUACAGUUGUAGGGUUUGAGUGUUAAAGCAUUUAGAUAUGCAAAGCAUUGUGCCAUGCUUUGGCAGACAUUUGUAAUUUAUCCAUAGUUAUUUGAUUGCUUGGGGUAUUGAAGGAGUUAUAAUAUGCUGAUAUGAGAAAAAUAAAUCAUAGAUGUAUUUAAUAAGAAGAAAUCAUGUUUUCUCCAAUUGAAAAUUUUUUGCAGAGGGCUCAGCUAUAUUUAUAUUGUCAACCAUUCAAUCCAUGCAGAAAUUUUAAUAAAAGCUUAAUUUCAUUUAAUAAAAUUUCCUGUGUGAUAUAUUAAUGAACCAAAUGUAUAUUUCUUGGUGAAAAGAUAUAUAUUCAUUACAUCUAGGGAAAAAAUCUAUUUUUCAUUUUUAGAUAGAUUACAUUGGCAACAAAAUAGUUCAUUCUUAUGUAGAGUGAAUAAUUAGCUAUUAAUCAGUUUAUAACACUUUCUGAUAACUUGCCCAUCAACUUACCAAUAAGAGUAACAAUCAAUUAGAUUUCUCAUUCAUUCUUCAACUAUUUGUCAAAUACUUACUAUAGCACUAUGCAGCAUAAAAUAAUAUAUGCUAACAUCUAUAGUCCUUG
rnacentral:lncRNA from 1 species